rnacentral:rRNA from 1 species
GACGAACGCUGGCGGCGUGCUUAACACAUGCAAGUCGAACGGAAAGGCCCUGCUUUUGUUGGGUGCUCGAGUGGCGAACGGGUGAGUAACACGCGAGUAACCUGCCCCUGACUUUGGGAUAACUUCUGGAAACUCGGGCUCAUACCGGAUAGGAGCUCCUGCUGCAUGGUGGGGGUUGGAAAGUUUCGGCGGUUGGGGAUGGACUCGCGGCUUAUCCGCUUGUUGGUGGGGUAGUGGCUUACCAAGGCUUUGACGGGUAGCCGGCCUGAGAGGGUGACCGGCCACAUUGGGACUGAGGUACGGCCCAGACUCCUACGGGAGGCAGCAGUGGGGAAUAUUGCAGAAUGGGCGGAAGCCUGAUGCAGCAGCGCCGCGUGCGGGAUAACGGCCUUCGGGUUGUAAACCGCUUUCGCCUGUGACGAAGCGUGAGUGACGGUAAUGGGUAAAGAAGCACCGGCUAACUACGUG